rnacentral:piRNA from 1 species
ACAAGGAGAUGACUUCUGUCCUUAAC